GGGGGGACCCAGGGGGAGCGAUGAGGAAGGGAGGAAGGGGACACCUGCCUAGCCAGUCAGAUCAGCCGAAUCAAGCCCGGCUACCAAUGGGG